rnacentral:rRNA from 1 species
UACAGAGGGUGCAAGCGUUAAUCGGAAUGACUGGGCGUAAAGGGCGCGUAGGUGGCAGCUUAAGUUAGAUGUGAAAUCCCCGGGCUUAACCUGGGAACUGCAUAUGAUACUGGGCAGCUAGAGUAUGGGAGAGGGCAGUGGAAUUUCCGGUGUAGCGGUGAAAUGCGUAGAUAUCGGAAGGAACACCAGUGGCGAAGGCGACUGCCUGGCCUGAUACUGACACUGAGGCGCGAAAGCGUGGGGAGCAAACAGG